AGCCCAACCUGCCCGGGUUUAUUGUUCGAAGUUUGCUCUCCUAGGUGUAUUACCUAUGACGGCUCACGAGCCCAACCUGCCCGGGUUUAUUGUUCGGAGUUUGCUCUCCUAGGUGAAUUGCCUACCACGGCUAACGAACCUCACCUGCCCGGGUUUGUAAUCGGAGUUUGCUCUCUUAGGUGAACUGCUUUCGCUAACGACCUCCACCUGCCCGGGUUUGUAAUCGGAGUUUGCUCUCCUAGAUGAAUUGCUUUCGCUAACGACCUCCACCUGCCCGGUUUUGUAAUCGGAGUUUGCUCUCCUAGGUGUAUUACCUAUGACGGCUCACGAGCCCAACCUGCCCGGGUUUAUUGUUCGGAGUUUGCUCUCCUAGGUGAAUUGCCUACCACGGCUAACGAACCUCACCUGCCCGGGUUUGUUGUUCGGAGUUUGCUCUCCUAGGCAGAUUGCCUAC